rnacentral:rRNA from 1 species
AUGACAGCUGAGCAAGCCUUCCAAGCGAGGCUACAGGUUUGGCUACAGAACAAUGGUGCCUUCGGCCCCAUAGAUGGUGGGAAUCAGGAUGAAGAUGAGCCAGUGACCCCUGAUCAGCAGCAGGUUCCUCUGUUCAUUCUUCCUACUAAAGGUCAAGUUAAUUAUCGGGCUAUUUUAAGGCAGCAGGGAGUCUCUUUCGCUGAUGGAGUUGUUCCCUCUGAUAAUGUUUCUGACAGUCCUCUUUCAGCUUGGAAUGAUAAUGUAAGUGAGGGUAGCUCUGAAUCUUCGGAGGACUUUGGUCAGUUGAUUUUAGUUCCAGCACCAGUCUCAUUGUCAAUUAGUCUGUCCGACACUGCUGGAUCUCAUGUAGCUACCACUUUUACUAUCAAUGAUGCCAAUGUGCCUGAUUUGUUUUGCCUUGCUCGCUCUGUUAUUUUUGCCCUGCAGCAACCAUACAUUCACCAUGACUCUGUUUUGCUCCAGACCCCACCGCUGCCUUUGCACUUGAUUACAUGGAACUCUCAGUCUGAAGGUGAUGCAAACACCUCGAUCUUGUUGGCUCCUGUUCGUAAAGUGGCCAGGAAACUGUGGUUUGAGGACACUCCUACUUCCUCAAAUUUUCUGUUUUUGGUGGAGGAUGCUGAACCUUUUGCACAUAUCCCAUCCUCGGUGGUAAUUUCUGAUAUCUCUGAUGAUGAUUUUGUGGCUCAGGCUGAAGACAACCCUCUGGACCAUGCCUUGGUUCCGUCUGCUCCUCUUGUUGAACACCAAGUUUCUCCAUCUCGUAAAAGGGGCCGUAGGGCCCAGUCUGUUACUCCACUAAGCACUGCUGAUGUUCGUCGCAGUCCUCGCAGUAAUAAGUAUAUGGGUUUUAAAGUGGACCAGCCGUCUGAUUCUCGUGGCCAUAAAUCUCUGAUCAAGCCUCGUGUCACUAAUGCCGUUGAAGAUCCUGCUCCAAAUUCCAGCUCUAAUGAUGCCAGCUCUAGAUCAGCGCCACCACCUCCAACAACCAUCAGGUACAUUCAGCAGCUGGGCUCUAGGUUCUGUGGCAUCCCCCAUGAGGAGCUUGCAGAAGAUCGUCUGCUGGCUGUUGGAAACAUCUCCUCCGAUGAAAAUGAUGUUGGCCAGUAA